GCCCAGGUGAUGAAAUGGCAGACAUGCAUGUCUGAGGGGCAUGUGCCCGUAAGGGCGUGCGGGUUCAAAUCCCGCCCUGGGCA
rnacentral:tRNA from 2 species